AUUACUGCGGCUCGCCUACUAGGCAGACAGAUACAAUGCCCACUAUAAUUAACUUAUGUCCAUUUUUUCAGCUACAAAGUUGUCCAAUUUUGCAUUUUAAUAAAUAUAUGGUUUAUUUUAAUGUUUUCAUGGCAUUUAUCCAGAUAUUUUUCUAUAAGCUAUUUUUUAUAUGUUCCUUAAAAUUGUAAGCUAUUAUGUUGAAACAUGAUUUGCUAUUUAUUGACACACAAAGAUAAACGAGGAGUUACCAACACCAGAAUCAAAAACAGAAACAAAACAUUUAUUUUUUAUACACACACAUAUUUACACCAUGCCAGCUUAUUGCACAGAUUUUUUGGUUCAACUUUUAUUUCUUAUAUAUCUUAAAGGGAUCUUUUCACGAUUUGGUAAAUUGACAAAAUUGAAAAAAGUUGUUUCAGAUUCGUAAGUUUUCGUUUUAGUUAUAAUAUUUGUGUGGAAACAGUAAUACUGAACAUUAACCAUGCUCUAAUAUAGCCAUUAUAUGCAUCUUUUGAAGAUUUUAAAACCUAAAAAUUAUAAAGCGUUGCAACGCGAAACGAUUGAAUAAUUUGGAGAGUUCUGUUUUUGUCGUUAAAUUUUGUGAAACUACGAAGAUUGCUUAUAUAAGGUAUAAAAUACGUCAAGAAUGUGUACUCGGCGGAAUAGCUCAGUAGGCUAAAGCGUUUUUACUUCAGGACUCUGGCAGGACUCCAGGGGUCACUGGUUCGAAACCUGCUCCGGGCAAUGUUCUUUUCCUUUUUUAGCUCACCUGAGCGAUAGCUCGAGGUGAGCUAUUGUGAUCACUCAGCGUCCGGCGUCCGUCCGUCCUUCCGUCCGUCCGUCUGUAAACAAUUUGUAAACAUCUUCUUCUACUAAACCAUUGAGCCAAUUUCAACUAAAUUUCAUGUGGAGCAUCCCUAGGUCAUGGGACAAAAGAAUUGUUAAAAAAAAUUUGAUCACAUAACCAAGAUGGCCGCCAUGACCAUAUAUGGUAAAAACCUUAAAAAAUCUUCUUGUCAGAAACUGCUCAUCAGAUUUUCAAAAAUUUUCACAGGGAUGACCUUUAAGGGCUCCCCUGAAAAAGUUGGUCAAAGAAAUUUGAUUCGUCAAAAAACAUGGCCGCAGGAGCUCGUUGAACUUUGCAUGUGUAUUCGUUUUUGCCUAUUUUGUGAAAACUUUCAAAAAUCUUCCACUUUUUUUGUCCGAUCCUUUCCAAAUUUGCACAGUGUCUUUAUAUCAAUGAGGACACGAACCCUACAAAAAAUGAGCAUUAUUGGUCCAUGAAGUACAGAAUUACCUCCCCUUGAAUUGAGAAAAUGGUGUUUAUGCAAUAAAGUCCAAAUUUUUCAUCCAAUUCUUUCCAAACUUGUAAGGAUUUAGCAUGGUUCAAACAAGGGAAACAACUACGGUUUAUGCAUGUUCUUUUUAUUACAGAUUUGCCUCCCUUUAAUUCAUUCAAAAUCUCAUUUUACAGCAGAGAUUCCAAAUCUGACCUGUAAAUGAGCCCCAUAUUUACUGCUGGUGCUAUGUUACCUUUUCCCAUUUGAUCAUUCUUAAGUAUUGGUCUUGUAAUGCUGCUACUGCUACUGCUACUGCUACUGCUACUGCUACUGCUACUACUACUACUACUACUACUACUACUACUACUACUACUACUACUACUACUACUACUACUACUUCUACUACUACUACUACUACUACUACUUCUACUACUACUACCACUACUACUACUACUACUACUACUACUACUACUACUACUACUACUACUACUACUUGUACUACUACUACUAGUACUACUACCACCACCACCACCACCACCACCACCACCACCACCACCACCACCACGUCUACUAUUACUACUUCUACUACUACUGCCACUACUACUACUACUUUUACCACUACUACUACUACUACUACUACUACUACUACUACUACCACUACUACUACUACUACUACUACUACUACUACUUCUACUACUUCUACUACUACUACUACUACUACUUCUACUACUACUACUACUACUACUACUACUACUACUACUACUACUACUACAACUACUAUUACUACUACUACUACUACUACUACUACUACUACUACUACUACUACUACUACUACACCACCACCACCACCACCACCACCAUUCACAGUGACAAAAAACGUAUUCACACAAUGGCUGCUACUACAACUUAUAGCCCAUAUAGGGGGGCAUGCAUGUUUUACAAACAGCCCUUGUUUCUAUGGGAUUUUAACCACAACUGUUCAUGUUUAUCUCCGACACAUAUUUUUAGGUCACCUGUCAUGAAGUGACACGGUGAGCUUAUGUGAUCGUGUGAUGUCCGGAGUCCGUUGUGCGUGCCUGCGUGUGUCCGUCCUUCAACAAUUUGUUUGUGUAGACAGUAGAGGUCACAGUUUGCAUCCAAUCUUGAUGAAAUUUGGUCAAAAUGUUUAUCUUGAUGAAAUCCGGUUUGGGAUUGUAUUUGGGUCAUCUGGGGUCAAAAACAAGGUCACUAGGUCAAAUAAUAGAACAACCUUCUGUAGACAAUAGAGGUCACAGUUUUCAUCCAAUCUUUAUGAAAUUUGGUCAGAAUGUUUAUCUUGAUGAAAUCUGGGUUGGGAUUUUAUUUGGGUCAUCUGGGGUCAAAAACUAGGUCACUAGGUCAAAUAAUAGAAAAACCUUGUGUAGACAUUAGAGAUCACAGUUUUCAUCCAACCUUUAUGAAAUUUGGUCAGAAUUCUUGAUGAAAUCUGGGUGGGAUUGUAUUUGGGUCAUCUGGGGUAAAAAUCUAGGUCAAAUAAAUAGAAAAACCUUGUGUUGACAAUAGAGGUCACAGUUUUCAUCAAUAUUUAUGAACUGUGGUCAGAAUGUUUAUCUUGAUGAAAUCUGGAUUGGGAUUGUAUUUGGGUCAUCUAGAGUCAGGAACUAGGUCACUAGGUCAAAUCAUAGAAAAACAUUGUGUAGACAAUAGAGGUCAUAGUUUUCAUCUGAUCUUAAUGAGUCAGGUGAGCGAUUCAGGGCCAUCAUGGCCCUCUUGUUUAAUUUUUUUCUUGAUUUUUUACUGGAGCUUUUACGAUCCAAUGUUUACAUUUAUCAAUAUAAAGCAUUUAAUGAAUAAGUUAAAAAAAUGCCAAAAUCUGUGAAAAGGCCCCUUUAAUGCUUUUGCAAACCUGCUUUAUAUUUUUAAUCAAAGACACACACCAGAAAUGAACUGUCUAAUAAACACUAACAUGUUAUAUCCCUUAUUUGAUUCAUAAUUAUGUUUAAUUCAGUACAAGUUGAUUAAGUUGAACAUUGAACUGCAGUUUUAAUUUUACAUCAUUGUGAACUAUUGAAAUUAAUAACUAAGAUAUUUCAAUAACAAAUUUAUUAUAAGAAGGGGUUUAAAUUUAGAUAAAUAUAUAUGCCCCGCCCCUGGACCACCAGGUUAUAUGGAUGUGCACAAAGUAUUGUCACAAAUGAGUGUGUGCAGUAUGCGCAGGCUAAACUGGGACCAUUUUCUCCACCUAGACUGUAAUUAUAUUUUAGGAAAGAAUUUCUUCACAUGAACAAUUUUCAUAAAAGCACAAAGUGUUGUCCCUGACAGGGAAGAUACUUUAUGCACAUACAUUAAGCCCAGUUUUCAAAAGGGUCGGCUCAGUUUAAUAUUGAUGAUAUUAAUUAAAGUCGCAGAUUGCAUGGUAUUUACAGAUGUUUUGAGUGGCAUGUGGGCAUUAUACAAAAGUUUUAGAUGGAGCCACAUUGUAGAUCAACUAGGGGUUUCAUAUUCUAUAAUGCUGUGUACUUCAACAUGUCUUUCAGCUACUCUUGAUUUUCUUAACUUAUGUUUUAGACUUUAUUUUAUGCUUGUUUAGAAAUGUAAAUAUAAGGUUGAUUUAUAAUAACUUUGUAUUCGGUUGUAUUAAAUUAUUUUUAUUAACCAGGUUUUCCGAAGGAAAAAACUGGUUAUUAGAUUGGCGAAUGCGGGCAGGCUGGCUGGCUGGCUGGCUGGCGGGCUGGCUGGCUGGCGGGCUGGCGGAAUAAGCUUGUCCGGGCCAUAACUAUGUCGUUCAUUGUCAGAUUUUAAAAUCAUUUGGCACAUUUGUUCACCAUCAUUGAACGGUGUGUCGCGCGAAAUAAUUACGUCGAUAUCUCCAAGGUCAAGGUCACACUUUGAGUUCAAAGGUCAAAAAUGGCCAUAAAUGAGCUUGUCCUGGCCAUAACUAUGUCAUUCAUUGUGAGAUUUUAAAAUCAUUUGGCACAUUUGUUCACCAUCAUGGGACGGUGUGUCCCACGAAAGAAUCACGUCAAUAUCUCCAAUGUCAAGGUCGCCACGACUAAAAAUAGAUUUAAAAAAAAAAAAAAAACUUACAAAGGGGGUUAAUUUUUUUUGUUCAUUUCAAAA